CUUUGCUCAGAUUCGACAUGCUAACCCAAACACGAGCUUAAGAAAUGAGGAUGUUGCUUGAAGCAAUGCCUGUGUAAACACUGAAGCUAAAAAUAGGUCAUCACGAACUGGAUUGAUAAGGAAACCAGCAUCCUCAAAAUGUAUGUGAAACACUCUGAAGCAGCAGCAGACUAUUCUCCUAUGCCCAAUGAUAUCCCUGACUUGCAACCAGCAAAUUAACUUUCAGGAUAUUAGUUUUUCUGCCAACUGCCACCUGAUCUAACAGAGAAAGCAGGGCUGGAAUUAUAACUCACUAGAUAUUGUAUGCCUGCCAGUUGGUAUUCCUACUUAUGCAGACAGUGUCCUGGCACAAGAGAACAGUGGCCCUUUUUCCACUUAUUCCUAUGGAGCUGUACACUCAAAGCUGGGAGCCCGAGUGGGCUAGCCCCUGUUCUACAUCUCAGUGUAGAACUUGACAUUAUGCACUGUGAGAAGCCAGUGAAAGGGAUAGCCUCUUCUUGGCCAUGAGUUUCUAGGUAUCCAGGAUACCAAGCCACUUUAAUGACUGUAUCAGACCUGCUUGCUGAUUUGAUUGUGCUGAUAUUGGUUAUUAAAACAACUGACAGCCUACCAAUUCACUUACAAAGACCUCUUCAAAGGUUUUGAAUAGACAAACACUGGUAGGGAAAGAUGUAUGUUUUUCAAAUUGGGAGGAAAAGAUUUAUAAUAUUAUCACUUCCAUGAAAGUAAGGGCUAGAUUUUCUGCAUUCUUACUUGUCUCCACCAGGCAACUAAAAAGUAUUGUAGGCCAUUAGGUUUGUACAUAUUUAGAGCAGUAGCAUUUGUAUGCACUUUAUAAGAUGACGUAUUAGAGGAGUAUCCCAUGAAACAUAACCACAGACCAUUCCAUAUAUGAAAACUGUAGUAGGUCUUCUCCAUGCCCCUUUUCUACUUACUAUUUUCCUUACAUACAUCAUCAAGACAAGAAGCAUAUAAGACAUAAGAACAUAUGAGACAAGUUACAUCGUGAAUUAAAGAAAAAUCUUUAAAUGUGUGUUAUAAAAACCCAUCUCAAUUUUUCAUCACGUUGUCAUGCUAAAUAAAAUUAUCUCACUGUCAGCUCUGGAAACUUUUUUGUUGGCCUGGACAGUGAUCUGUUUAUUCCCCAUUUUUCCAAUAAAUUGAUAUUUUAGAAAUAAAAUAUAUAUGUAACCAACUAACAUAAUUUAACAGAACAUAACUUCUCAAU